rnacentral:tmRNA from 1 species
GGGGAUGUUCUGGCUUCGACGCUGGUGAUGAAACUCAAUGAUGCAUGUCGAGAGUGUAUGUCCUCUCGUUAAUCAAACAUAUAUUGUUAUAGUCGCAAACGACGAAACUUACGCUCUAGCAGCUUAAACCCUGCUUACUGCGCUGCCGAUUACCUAUAGUUGGUUAGCCCAGUUGAAGCGUCCGCAUAUAGGUUCGCCACAAGGGAUUGUCUCAAUCGCUUGGGUUCAAAAGUAGAGAAUCGUCCAAUCCAUCCCUGACUGUCGGAUCGGUGCGGAUUAAAUUUAAAGACAGAAACUAAACAUGUAGAUUCAUGAGCGUAAUGCUGGCGGACGCGGGUUCAACUCCCGCCAUCUCCACCA